UACGGAGGGUGCAAGCGUUAAUCGGAAUUACUGGGCGUAAAGCGCACGCAGGCGGUGUGUCAAGUCGGAUGUGAAAUCCCCGGGCUCAACCCGGGAACUUCAUGCGAAACUGGCAGACUAGAGUACUGUAGAGGGGGGUAGAAUUCCAGGUGUAGCGGUGAAAUGCGUAGAGAUCUGGAGGAAUACCGGUGGCGAAGGCGGCCCCCUGGACGAAGACUGACGCUCAGGUGCGAAAGCGUGGGGAGCAAACAGG
rnacentral:rRNA from 1 species